GUUGCUUCUUACUGGUGAACUCUCUCUGAUAAUUAAUGUGAGAUGUUCAUGUUUCCGAAGCAUAGAUUAAAAAAUCUUUGCCAGUUUUAAACAGCUCUGCGUAUUCUUGCGCAGUUGCUACCUGUCUCCUGGUAUAUUU